rnacentral:rRNA from 1 species
GGGGGGCUCGGGGUCACUCCCAACCCAAUGUGAACCAUACCAAACUGUUGCCUCGGCGGGGUCACGCCCCGGGUGCGUCGCAGCCCCGGAACCAGGCGCCCGCCGGAGGGACCAACCAAACUCUUUUCUGUAGUCCCCUCGCGGACGUUAUUUCUUACAGCUCUGAGCAAAAAUUCAAAAUGAAUCAAAACUUUCAACAACGGAUCUCUUGGUUCUGGCAUCGAUGAAGAACGCAGCGAAAUGCGAUAAGUAAUGUGAAUUGCAGAAUUCAGUGAAUCAUCGAAUCUUUGAACGCACAUUGCGCCCGCCAGUAUUCUGGCGGGCAUGCCUGUCCGAGCGUCAUUUCAACCCUCGAACCCCUCCGGGGGGUCGGCGUUGGGGACCUCGGGAGCCCCUAAGACGGGAUCCCGGCCCCGAAAUACAGUGGCGGUCUCGCCGCAGCCUCUCCUGCGCAGUAGUUUGCACAACUCGCACCGGGAGCGCGGCGCGUCCACGUCCGUAAAACACCCAACUUCUGAAAUGUUGACCUCGGAUCAGGUAGGAAUACCCGCUGAACUUAAGCAUAUCAAUAAGCGGAGGAA